rnacentral:rRNA from 1 species
UCGGGAAUUUUGGGCAAUGGGCGAAAGCCUGACCCAGCAACGCCGCGUGAAGGAUGAAGUAUUUCGGUAUGUAAACUUCGUAAGAAUAGGAAGAAUAAAUGACGGUACUAUUUGUAAGGUCCGGCUAACUACGUGCCAGCAGCCGCGGUAAUACGUAGGGACCAAGCGUUGUUCGGAUUUACUGGGCGUAAAGGGCGCGUAGGCGGUGUGUCAAGUCAGUUGUGAAAUCUCCGAGCUUAACUCGGAACGGUCAACUGAUACUGUCACACUAGAGUACAGAAGGGGCAAUCGGAAUUCUUGGUGUAGCGGUGAAAUGCGUAGAUAUCAAGAGGAACACCAGUGGCGUAAGCGACUUGCUGGCCCGUAACUGACGCUGAGGAACGAAAGCCAGGGGAGCGAAUGGGAUUAGAUACCCAAGUAGUCCCUGAGCGGGCUGGCAAGGCGCAU